rnacentral:lncRNA from 1 species
AGCCAGGUGCAGGGCCGGGCGCGGGGCUGGCAGCACUAGCCGGGAAGCGGGCGACGGCCGGGCCGGGCUCCGCCUGGAAAUAACCAUCGGCAGACGUCGGGCCGCGGAGGACACUCGCCUGCCGCGCUCUAGACCCCCGCGUCUCCGGAUCGCCCCGGUACGCUCUGCCGGGAGGACGCUGCCCCGCGCGGGUCCCCAGGGAAAGCAGGUGGAGGAGCCUCUAGCAGACCCGGCCAGGCCCCCGCCGAAGCGCGCAUCCGGAUCCCUCCGCCACCACGGCUCUUCCGCGCCAAGUAGUGCGCGGCCGCCGCGCGCUUCCACGAGCCGCUGGGGUGUCGGACUAGCUGUUCGCGCGAGGCCCCUGCUGUCCACACACCCCUCGAGGCCCCCCGCGGCCCGACCCUCCGGCCCCGGCUCAUGCGCCCUGCGAGCCCGCGCGCGGAGCCUCUCCGAAGCCGCCAGGGGAGCGCGGGCGGGCGGCAUGGGACACAGGUGUCCCGCCCCGCCCCCACCGCCGCCAGCAGGAAAAGGAGCCGCGGGCCACCCGCCCGGCCUCGCGGGACGGGGCGCCCUGCUGGGAGCGCGUGACCUAGUUCGUCCUGAAGUGGAUUUGACAGAAACAAGACGGCGAGCUCACCUGCGCUGCCGCCGGCUCCCACGGCUCCCACCCCUCGGCCCAGCCUCCACCUUCUUGAUCCGGCCCAGGGGCGCGGGUCUCCUGGCGGAGCCGGGGUGGAGAUGACAAACGUCGCCACCGCGCUCGGGUCCUGGGAUGGAGCAGGAGCCGGGAUGCCUAGAUCAACUUAGACUCCAGGCCAAGCCCGAGGCCUCACGGUACCAGGGACACUGCAGUGGCACCGCCAACAGUCCCAUCAGUUAGCAGCAGCUUCUCCUGGGGAACUCACUCCUCUUGCCCUGCUUCUGGCAUCCUGAGGUUGAGAGAUUGCGUGUCUUUUACAGUCUGAGCUCGCUCUGUGACGGGCCGCUGCGGAGGCCAAGGAUAAAAGGAAUAAUCGCCUCUCAUCUGACGUUACACAGAAGAAACCUGGUUUAACGUGAGAAAACUAAGUAACUUUCCUAAAAUGUCUAAGUGGGAGAUCCCGACGUGAAGCCAAGGCUGACUCCCGAGGGUGAUUAUUGGGACCGUGGCGCCGGCAUAGCCAGGGGAACAGCAGAGCAGCCUUUCCAGCCGCCCUCAGCCUCGUGGCAUCAACUCCGGACCUUGGGCUUUCAAGGCAUAUUGAAUUUAAAGCCAGCCUGAACUACAUAGCGAGACCCUGUCUCAAAGAAACAAAAACAAAAAACAAUUGGCCAGGUGUGGUGCCUGUAAUUUCACCAUUCAGGAGGUUGAGGCAGGGGCCCCCCCCAGGAGUUCAAGGCUAGCCUAGACCACAUAGGGAGACUGUCUCAAAAACAAAUAAAAACAAUUGAAACUGAAGGUUUCCAAGCCAGGUGUGGUGGCACAGGCUGAGGCCGGAGGAUGGCAAGUUUGAGCCCAGCCUAGGUAGAAUUUUCAUUGUGCAGAGGAAAUCUCCAAAUUCAUUGGGAUCCACCUUACCUUUCUGACGCAUUUGGUGAAUUAGAAGAAAUGGCUGUAGAGACAUUUCUUUUUUUCUUUUUUGGUACCGGGGAUCGAACUCAGGAUCUUGCACUUGCCAGGCAGCCGCGGCACCACUGAGCUAAAUCCCAGGCCCAGUAGAGACAUUUCUAAUAUUCAAUUCUUUUGUAGUGCUGGGGAUGGAACUCAGGGCCUUGUUCAUGUUGGCAAGUGCUCUACACCCCAGCCCAAGAAUCUUUUUUGUUUUCUUUUUGGCACCAGGAAUCAAACUCAAGACCUUGCACUUGCCAGGCAGGACCAGUGCCACUAAGCUAAAUCCCCAGCCCUGUUUUGUUUUUUAAAGACGAGGUCUGGCUAUCUAGUUCAGGCUGGCCUCAAACUCUUGACAGUCCUGCCUCAGCUUCCCAAGUGGUGGGAUUACAGGUGUGUUAUCACCAUGCCUGGGUCCAAGACCCAUUUAAAAAAAAAACUUUUAUAACAAAACAAAAACAACUUGUGUAAUAUUUUUUAUGGUACUGGGG